GACGAACGCUGGCGGCGUGCUUAACACAUGCAAGUCGAACGGAAAGGCCCUGCUUGCAGGGUACUCGAGUGGCGAACGGGUGAGUAACACGUGGGUGAUCUGCCCUGCACUUCGGGAUAAGCCUGGGAAACUGGGUCUAAUACCGGAUAGGAGCCAUUUUUAGUGUGAUGGUUGGAAAGUUUUUUCGGUGUAGGAUGAGCUCGCGGCCUAUCAGCUUGUUGGUGGGGUAAUGGCCUACCAAGGCGGCGACGGGUAGCCGGCCUGAGAGGGUGGACGGCCACAUUGGGACUGAGAUACGGCCCAGACUCCUACGGGAGGCAGCGGUGGGGAAUAUUGCACAAUGGGCGCAAGCCUGAUGCAGCGACGCCGCGUGGGGGAUGACGGCCUUCGGGUUGUAAACUCCUUUCGCUAGGGACGAAGCUUUUUGUGACGGUACCUAGAUAAGAAGCACCGGCCAACUACGUG
rnacentral:rRNA from 1 species